rnacentral:rRNA from 1 species
UACGUAGGGUGCAAGCGUUGUCCGGAAUUAUUGGGCGUAAAGAGCUCGUAGGCGGCUUGUCGCGUCGGCUGUGAAAACCCGGGGCUCAACCCCGGGCCUGCAGUCGAUACGGGCAGGCUAGAGUCCGGCAGGGGAGACUGGAAUUCCUGGUGUAGCGGUGAAAUGCGCAGAUAUCAGGAGGAACACCGGUGGCGAAGGCGGGUCUCUGGGCCGGAACUGACGCUAAGGCGCGAAAGCCAGGGGAGCGAACGGG